GUAUGUUGUUAAAGGUUUAUCGCCUUGGGAUAGGCUUGCGUCUGAUUAGCUAGUUGGUGUGGUAACGGCACACCAAGGCUACGAUCAGUAACUGGUCUGAGAGGAUGAUCAGUCACACUGGAACUGAGACACGGUCCAGACUCCUACGGGAGGCAGCAGUGAGGAAUAUUGGGCAAUGCUCGAAAGAGUGACCCAGCAACGCCGCGUGGAGGAUGAAGGUAUUCUAUAUCGUAAACUCCUGUGAGAGCAGACGAAAGACAGAUUAUUAAUCUGGAUGACUGUAUGCUCAGAGGAAGCCCCGGCGAACUACGUG
rnacentral:rRNA from 1 species